AGAGUUUGAUCCUGGCUCAGGACGAACGCUGGCGGCGUGCCUAACACAUGCAAGUCGAACGGAGUUGAAAGGAGCUUGCUUUUUUCAACUCAGUGGCGGACGGGUGAGUAACGCGUGAGUAACCUGCCUUUCAGAGGGGGAUAACGUUCUGAAAAGAACGCUAAUACCGCAUAAGAUUGUAGUUUCGCAUGGAGCAGCAAUCAAAGGAGCAAUCCGCUGAAAGAUGGACUCGCGUCCGAUUAGAUAGUUGGCGGGGUAACGGCCCACCAAGUCAACGAUCGGUAGCCGGACUGAGAGGUUGAUCGGCCACAUUGGGACUGAGACACGGCCCAGACUCCUACGGGAGGCAGCAGUGAGGGAUAUUGGGCAAUGGGGGAAACCCUGACCCAGCAACGCCGCGUGAGGGAUGACGGUUUUCGGAUUGUAAACCUCUGUCCUCUGUGAAGAUAGUGACGGUAGCAGAGGAGGAAGCUCCGGCUAACUACGUGCCAGCAGCCGCGGUAAUACGUAGGGAGCAAGCGUUGUCCGGAUUUACUGGGUGUAAAGGGUGCGUAGGCGGAUUGGCAAGUCAGAAGUGAAAUCCAUGGGCUUAACCCAUGAACUGCUUUUGAAACUGUUAGUCUUGAGUGAAGUAGAGGUAGGCGGAAUUCCCGGUGUAGCGGUGAAAUGCGUAGAGAUCGGGAGGAACACCAGUGGCGAAGGCGGCCUACUGGGCUUUAACUGACGCUGAGGCACGAAAGUGUGGGUAGCAAACAGGAUUAGAUACCCUGGUAGUCCACACUGUAAACGAUGAUUACUAGGUGUGGGGGGUCUAACCCCCUCCGUGCCGGAGUUAACACAAUAAGUAAUCCACCUGGGGAGUACGACCGCAAGGU
rnacentral:rRNA from 1 species